rnacentral:rRNA from 1 species
AUUGAACGCUGGCGGCAGGCCUAACCCAUGCAAGUCGAACGAGUGGCGGACGGGUGAGUAAUGUCUGGGAAACUGCCUGAUGGCGGGGGAUAACUCCUGGAAACGGUAGCUAAUACCGCCUACCAUCGGAUGUGCCCAGAUGGGAUUAGCUAGUAGGUGGGGUAACGGAUCACCUAGGCGACGAUCCCUAGAUGGUCUGAGAGGAUGACCAGCAACGCGGGAACUGAGACACGGUCCCGACUCCGACGGGAGGCAGCAGUGGUGAAUAUUGCACAAGGGGCGCAAGCCUGAUACAGCCAUGCCGCGUGUAUGAAGAAGGCCUUCGGGUUGUAAAGUACUUUCAGCGGGGAGGCGUUACCCGCAGAAGAAGCACCGGCUAACUCCGUGCCAGCAGCCGCGGUAAUUC